AUGGGAAACUGCCUGAUGGAGGGGGAUAACUACUGGAAACGGUAGCUAAUACCGCAUAACGUCGCAAGACCAAAGAGGGGACCUUCGGGCCUCUUGCCAUCAGAUGUGCCCAGAUGGGAUUAGCUAGUAGGUGGGGUAACGGCUCACCUAGGCGACGAUCCCUAGCUGGUCUGAGAGGAUGACCAGCCACACUGGAACUGAGACACGGUCCAG
rnacentral:rRNA from 1 species